GAUGAACGCUGGCGGCGUGCUUAACACAUGCAAGUCGAACGGAAAGGCCCAAGCUUGCUUGGGUACUCAAGUGGCGAACGGGUGAGUAACACGUGGGUGAUCUGCCCUGCACUUCGGGAUAAGCCUGGGAAACUGGGUCUAAUACCGGAUAGGACGAUGGUUUGGAUGCCAUUGUGGAAAGUUUUUUCGGUGUGGGAUGAGCUCGCGGCCUAUCAGCUUGUUGGUGGGGAAAUGGCCUACCAAGGCGUCGACGGGUAGCCGGCCUGAGAGGGUGUACGGCCACAUUGGGACUGAGCUGCGGCCCAGACUCCGACGGGAGGCAGCAGUGGGGAAUAUUGCACAAUGGGCGCCAGCCUGAUGCAGCGACGCCGCGUGGGGGAUGACGGCCUUCGGGUUGUAAGCUCCUUUCGCUAGGGACGAAGCGUUUUUGUGACGGUACCUGGAGAAGAAGCACCGGCUAACUACGUG
rnacentral:rRNA from 1 species